AGUGAACGCUGGCGGCAGGCCUAAUACAUGCAAGUCGAACGGCAGCACAGCAGAGCUUGCUCUGUGGGUGGCGAGUGGCGGACGGGUGAGGAAUACAUGGGAAUCUGCCCAGUCGUGGGGGAUAACGUAUGGAAACGUACGCUAAUACCGCAUGCGCCCUAAGGGGGAAAGCCGGGGACCGCAAGGCCUGGCGCGAUUGGAUGAGCCCAUGUUCGAUUAGCUAGUUGGCGGGUAAAGGCCCACCAAGGCGACGAUCGAUAGCUGGUCUGAGAGGAUGAUCAGCCACACUGGAACUGAGACACGGUCCAGACUCCUACGGGAGGCAGCAGUAGGGAAUAUUGGACAAUGGGGGCAACCCUGAUCCAGCCAUGCCGCGUGAGUGAAGAAGGCCCUCGGGUUGUAAAGCUCUUUUGUCCGGAAAGAAAAGCAAUCGGUUAAUACCCGGUUGUUCUGACGGUACCGGAAGAAUAAGCACGGCUAACUUCGUGCCAGC
rnacentral:rRNA from 1 species